UGGACGCCGCCGCCAGAAGAGAGGCGUGAGGCUGAAUGCUGUCAGCCGCGUGUUCUACA
rnacentral:sRNA from 1 species